rnacentral:lncRNA from 1 species
UUUUUUUUUUUAACAUCAUUCAAGUAAGUAUACUCACUGCAGUUUUCCCGGUGUGUGUUCCUUUUUGACAGGGGUAGAAAUCUGUGGUUGUGGUGAGGGGGGAGGAGGCACUGAUGGUUUUGAAACUGGUGACGGAGGACCUACGUCUUUGGGAAUUUCAACAUGUUUCCAAUCUUCUUCUUCUUCAACUAGCAACCCAAUGAGGGAACCUAGCCGUAUAUUUUUAGAUCCUUCGGCAACCUAUAUUUUAAAGAGAAAACCAUUGUAGAGAUGGAAAGGCUCAUGACUUCAUCAAGUAGUUUAAUCCUUGGAUAAUCCUGUACCGGUCAGCAAGCAAUCUCGCUUCACAUGAGCUAAAAUCUACCUCCACGCCAGGCUGCCUCCUUCCACUCACGGCAUUCCUCAUCCUCCUUCCCUCACUUACACCUGCCUUCACCACUGUCCUCCGUUCCAGUGACCGACACUGCCUCCUGAAAUUUAAAACGAAUGAACAAAAUUCUAUAAUUUCUCCUUUUUCUGAAAAAAAAAAAAACCCAUCCCACCAUAUAGACAGAAUUGGUUACGUUUCACAUUUUUCUAUAUUUUCAUUUUUCCCUAUAUGUAUAUUUGCAAAACCUAAGAAAUAAAAUAAAACCUUGUGAAUUUUCUCUAAGUACAUGAGAAACAUGGCAGUGUCUCAGCUAACAAUUUUCAUAGAUAACUCCAAUUAAAAGCAUAAAUAAGAUCAAAGGUGAUUUUUUAAAACUCAAAUACAUUUUAAGCAUUUCAGGAACAUUAAUUUAUAAAGAAAGGGUUGAUUCUUAUUUACUCAUUAAAAGAAGUCUCUAGAGAAUCUUCCGAUGAUAAGUUCACUACUGGAAGAAAUGUCAUUCCUUUAAAAUUUUCUAUUAUUUUCUUCCAAUUACUUUAAAUAAGGUUCAUUAGAGAUGUAAUUUAAUGAAUAAUAGAAUGACAACAGCAGCAGGACAUUCACUAAUAUAGUAAUUAUAAGUAAAAGCAUAACUCCUAGAAUGGGUUUGACAUUUCUAAGUUAAUACUAAAUUUUGAGGCUUAUUAGUAUGUGCCCUAUUCUUGAAAUAAUAAGGCAAAAGUUCUGAGAGUUAGGAAGUUAAGUGUUCUACCUACUGAUGGAGAAGAACAGGAAUACUCUGGUAAAGCAGUGUAAGAAAUGGGAAUACAAAACUGAAUAAGGAUGUUCAAUGAAUUCCAACUGAGAAAAAUGUCAAAUAACCCAAGAACAUUUUACAUUUUUCUUUACUAUUUCAAAAAAGAUGAGUUACAAUUAUUAAUAGGUUAAUAUUCUUUCCUUGUUCUAAAAAUGUCUGAUUACCUGCUUAUGAACUAACUAAAAAAUCACAAAGUAAAAUGACCAAUUUUCUUGAAAAAUUGAUAGAAAAAAGCAUUAAGUGAUAUGAGGUCCACUUGAUGUUAAUUCCUAUCAAACUGAAGCAGAAAUAGGAUCAAUAUCCAAAUUCAAAGAAAAUCACUCAAAUAAAAAGCAUUCUUAAAAAAGGGAAAGUUGUAUU